ACUCAUCAAGCCCUGCCUAUAAAGGAAGCAGGAAGUUAAGGGUUCCUUCUUUCAUCUUCAAGGCUGCACACAGCAGGCAGCAACAGAAAUUUUUCACUCCUUAUUCAAUCUGGUGAAGAAAUGAAAAGAGGAGUUUGUCUGACUGUCAACCUACGAGCACCAAACACGUGGAGGACUGUACACACACCUGUGGAGGAUGUAGAGGACCAUCUCUUUGCUUCCUGCACUGGCAGCGUGAUGACGUAACCUGCAGCCGGACGAGUCGAGUGACGUCAGGUCGGCUCCCUCCAGGUGGGGCUCCCUCCAGGUGGGGCUCCCUCCCUCCAGGUGCGGCUCCUGCAGCUGAUGAUUCAAUUCAAAGACACAUGGGCAGCCUGACCAAAACAAGACAAAGAGCUGUUAACAUGUCGGCUACACCACGCUGCCUCACCUGCUUCCUUCAACAUUUGGUGUUUCCUCGCUCUGAACUCUGAAGAGUAGGAUCUGUGCUGCAGCUGGAAGGAUUUUCUUCAGAUUAAAGUUUACUUGUUA